ensembl:snRNA U6 U6 spliceosomal RNA
GUGCUCGCUUCGGCAGCACAUAUACUAAAAAUGGAACGAUACAGAGAAGAUUAGCGUGGCCCCUGCACAAGGAUGACAUGCAAAUUGGUGAAGCCUUCCCUAUUUUG